GCCUGCUCUGCGCGGAUCCGGGGAAUGCGUGAGAGGAGAGCAGCUCUGAGCCCUGCUUCCAAGGGGCGCGCCCGGUUAUUCCCCUCGCUCCCUCAGUCCGACCCCGGGCGCUCCCCCGCGGAGAUUGGCUGGGAGAGGGAGCACCUGUAACAGCAGAACUACUGGACGAAAGCAAAUUCCCAUCCAUCGCCUCUACAGCCCUGGGAGAGACGAGGUUUCGCCAUGUUAGCCAAGAUGGUCUCAAGCUCCUGACCUCGUGAUCCGCCCAUCUCAACCUCCCAAAGCGCUGGGAUUACAGGCGUGAGGCACCGCGCCCAGCUGAAAUCAUUUCUUCAGAUACAACCUUGAGAGCCCAAGAAGUGACAGGGAUGACAGGCUGCUGGGGUGGUCCCACAGUUCCUCAGGGUUUGUCUCUCACUUGCCCAGCCCACACACCCUAUCUCCAGGGCACUGUGGAACACAGUUUGAAACUCCCGCUGCACAGAAUAGCAAGUGCGGGGCCGGGGGAUGCACUGAAGACAGGCAUUCAGGCGGAUGCCCCCUGCACACUGUGGAAAGGCACCCUGGUGGGCUGGCACCUGGUCAGACCCAUCUUCCUGAGCAAGGGCACUGGACAGGUUUGUUGGUGGAUCAUUUUUAUAUGAAUACAUAUGCCUAGACAAGGCACUUCUCCUGAUGCAUCCACCCAGACUCUGACUUGGCCCCAGACUGAAUAAGCCCCCACCUUGCCACAUGUUAAUGUUGCUUACUGUGUUUGAGCCUCUGUUUCCCUGUGCUCCAUCCAAAUGGGAAUAAGUAUCUUCCUCCUAGGGUUGUUGUAAAGACUAAAAUAAUAAAUGUAAAGUGCCAUAUGGGCACAAUGGC